rnacentral:lncRNA from 1 species
CCCACAGUGGCCAGAAAACUGCUACUAUAUUGACUGUGGGAAACAUGAGUUCUGUUCAACCUCUCUGGAAUGCUGUAUAAACCAUCCUGGAAUACUCAAGAACAAUGGCCUGACUGUUUCUCUGGCAAUAUGCAUGGCCACAUUCUCCAGCUGUGUGUAAUCCAAGCUGUAGCCUCUUUUAUCCAUCUAGAACCUAAGAACGCUACUGUGUUACGAGGUAGUGAGGUCCACUUUAACUGCAGCACCGAUGAAUCCUGGGAUGUCAUGGCGUGGCUGUUGGGUGGAAGGACAAUCCUCACUAUUUCGGUGGAACAUGGUCCUCUGGGCAGAGAUGAGAGUGUGUCCACAGUCAAUCACUCAGUCAUGUCAUCUCUGUCAGUGUGGGAGUUAGUUCUGUUGAACGCUUCCUUCAGCCCCACUGUACAGGAAGUCACAUGUGAACUGCUGCCAACGAAACUCGGCAGAUCAUCAUCAGCUCUGUUUGUACAAGAAAAAGGAAAUGUCAGGAUUUUGGAGAGUGAUCAGUCAGUUCAAGAGGGGAUGCUUGUUAUCUUCCAUUGCCAAGCGAGUGGCUGGUAUCCGGACCCUUCAGUGUCCUGGGUGGUCAACGGCACCACUGUGGACAGAGGCAACUACAACACCAGCAGUCUUCAGGACCCCAAUGGCCUUUUCAGCUCCACCAGUGUGCUUCAGAUGAAAGCAGAGACGAGCACCAUGGUGGAGUGUUGGGCAUCUGUGUCUGCCGCUCGAGCCCACCAGAGCAGCAGUCUCAAGCUGACUGUAG